rnacentral:rRNA from 1 species
UACGAAGGGGGCUAGCGUUGCUCGGAAUCACUGGGCGUAAAGCGCACGUAGGCGGAUUGCUAAGUCAGGGGUGAAAUCCUGGAGCUCAACUCCAGAACUGCCUUUGAUACUGGCGACCUUGAGUCCGGGAGAGGUGAGUGGAACUGCGAGUGUAGAGGUGAAAUUCGUAGAUAUUCGCAAGAACCCCAGUGGCGAAGGCGGCUCACUGGCCCGGUACUGACGCUGAGGUGCGAAAGCGUGGGGAGCAAACAGG